AGUCGACGGCAGCACGGGAGCAAUCCUGGUGGCGAGUGGCGAACGGGUGAGUAAUGUAUCGGAACGUACCUUUCAGUGGGGGAUAACGUAGCGAAAGUUACGCUAAUACCGCAUAUUCUGUGAGCAGGAAAGCAGGGGAUCGCAAGACCUUGCGCUGAUUGAGCGGCCGAUAUCAGAUUAGCUAGUUGGUGAGGUAAAGGCUCACCAAGGCGACGAUCUGUAGCGGGUCUGAGAGGAUGAUCCGCCACACUGGAACUGAGACACGGUCCAGACUCCUACGGGAGGCAGCAGUGGGGAAUUUUGGACAAUGGGGGCAACCCUGAUCCAGCCAUGCCGCGUGAGUGAAGAAGGCCUUCGGGUUGUAAAGCUCUUUCAGCCGGGAAGAAAUCACAUGGGUUAAUACCCUGUGUGGAUGACGGUACCGGAAUAAGAAGCACCGGCUAACUACGUGCCAGCAGCCGCGGUAAUACGUAGGGUGCGAGCGUUAAUCGGAAUUACUGGGCGUAAAGCGUGCGCAGGCGGUUUGUUAAGAUAGGCGUGAAAUCCCCGGGCUCAACCUGGGAACUGCGUUUAUGACUGGCAGGCUAGAGUAUGGCAGAGGGGGGUGGAAUUCCACGUGUAGCAGUGAAAUGCGUAGAGAUGUGGAGGAACACCGAUGGCGAAGGCAGCCCCCUGGGCCAAUACUGACGCUCAUGCACGAAAGCGUGGGUAGCAAACAGGAUUAGAUACCCUGGUAGUCCACGCCCUAAACGAUGUCAACUAGGUGUUGGGUGGGUAAAACCAUUUAGUACCGGAGCUAACGCGUGAAGUUGACCGCC
rnacentral:rRNA from 1 species